rnacentral:rRNA from 1 species
GAUGAACGCUGGCGGCGUGCCUAAUACAUGCAAGUCGAGCGAACAGACAAGGAGCUUGCUCCUCUGACGUUAGCGGCGGACGGGUGAGUAACACGUGGAUAACCUACCUAUAAGACUGGGAUAACUUCGGGAAACCGGAGCUAAUACCGGAUAAUAUAUUGAACCGCAUGGUUCAAUAGUGAAAGACGGUUUUGCUGUCACUUAUAGAUGGAUCCGCGCCGCAUUAGCUAGUUGGUAAGGUAACGGCUUACCAAGGCAACGAUGCGUAGCCGACCUGAGAGGGUGAUCGGCCACACUGGAACUGAGACACGGUCCAGACUCCUACGGGAGGCAGCAGUAGGGAAUCUUCCGCAAUGGGCGAAAGCCUGACGGAGCAACGCCGCGUGAGUGAUGAAGGUCUUCGGAUCGUAAAACUCUGUUAUUCGGGAAGAACAAAUGUGUAAGUAACUAUGCACGUCUUGACGGUACCUAAUCAGAAAGCCACGGCUAACUACGUG